GUGCCAGCAGCCGCGGUAAGACGUAGGAUGCAAGCGUUGUCCGGAUUUAUUGGGCGUAAAGAGUUCGUAGGCGGUUCGUUAAGUCUGAUGUUAAAGAUCGGGGCCCAACCCUGGGAGUGCAUUGGAUACUGGCGAACUGGAGUGCAGUAGAGGCGAGUGGAAUUCCCAGUGUAGCGGUGAAAUGCGUAGAUAUUGGGAAGAACACCGGUGGCGUAGGCGACUCGCUGGGCUGUAACUGACGCUGAGGAACGAAAGCCAGGGGAGCGAAUGGGAUUAGAUACCCCAGUAGUCC
rnacentral:rRNA from 1 species